GCCUGGAAGCCGUAGCAACAGUACAGGAAGUCCCGGCGGUUUUAAGUUGCGGUUCCGGUGUUCAGAACGCCAAGGACGAUGGGAAGCUUGAAUUUGUUUAUCUGGCUUUAGGCAAUUCAAUUCACCCUUUCGUGCUGCCGAGAACCCCUCUGACGCCGCCACCCCACCGGAAUGGACCGAGGCGGCUUCCUUUGCUGGAAACAUCUGACUCCAUAAUGUGCCAGACCCUGGAGACCUGAGACACAUCGACUCGCUUCUCAGGUUUUGAGAUGCACAAUGAUGAGAAAUAAAAAUGAAAAGAUUUCCAGAAAGAAGCCAUAAGAUUCAAGGUUUCACAGUCUAAGCUAAUGUCCACGGAUAUUUGACGAAAUGAUCUGAGAAAAUUGCAGUCCUGGCAAAAGAAGUGUAACUAGACUAAGGCAAGGUAAAUGGCUAAGUAGGCAGGGAGACAUGAGCUGGCGGUUGCAGGGAGGGUUGAGAAUGGCAAGUGGGUUGGCACAUUGCUGUAGUGUAAGCUACAGCCUGGCAGGAUUUCUGUAUUUCCUGCUUAAAGACGCCUCACUACUUGACUUUAGCUGGAAUAGUAAGGACAUCCAGCUGUUUUAGUUCAAGACAAUGCCAGAUUCUUGUCCCAUUCUGGCGGAUGGCGGCUUGUUGUCUAGUAUUUCUUCAGUCAGCACCCACCUCUUUUUCCAGAUACAGCCUAUAGGGUGAUUUGUCCUCUUUGUUCUAAGUACUAUGGUUUAAGAUUGUCUGUAGAUUGUGCAUAAUUUAGGUACAUUGUUUGGAGCACAGAAAUUCCUUUAUAGUUGCGAAAGGGAGGUUAGAGGAAGAUAAAAUGUCAUGCUGUAGUAUGUUUUGAGCCAUAGUCAUUACUGACU